GAGGAACUUAUCAAGACCUUCACUGAGCCGGACACGGUGAUCCAUGAGAACUUCAGGUUGUUCCUGAGCUCCAUGCCCACCAAGGUGUUCCCUGUCACCGUCCUCCAGAACUCUGUCAAGGUGACCAACGAGCCUCCUAAGGGUCUACGUGCCAACGUGCGCC